rnacentral:lncRNA from 1 species
ACCACUGCUACCUCAGCAUGGGCCGGAGCCUUUCAUGGGACAGUGGACAUCGUGCCAAGUGUGGGCUUCGAAACAGGUCUUCAGCAUCAGGACAAGAGCAAAGAGUCAACUUGGUACUGAAGCAUGGUGUCAGCAGGUCAUACGGCAGCGUGAAUCCAAGGACCCUCUGGGAAAACAUGCCGUUGGGGUAUCCCAUGCAGGAAUGGGACAUGGGAAACAUGGACUGAGAAGAGGACAGGGAAGGCCAUUGUCUUUAGAUUUGAACCGUUUCUGGAUAAAGCAUAGUGGGUCCUCCUA